rnacentral:misc_RNA from 1 species
AAAAUUCAUCCCAACCACCCAUGUGGUGGUUGAGCGGUGGAACUGGCUGUCCUGCCGAUCCCAGUACACACGGGAGAAGCGGGUCAGUUGAAGCGCAGAUGUUGCUGAUGGACCCUACCACGGGCCUCUACUGGGUAGGCAACUCGCUUGCUGAAAUGCUUUAGUAGAUGGCUUUGGGACUGUGAGCAGCACAAACCAGGAGUGCUCGUCAUGAGCACAAACCCUCCUUUUUCUC